rnacentral:rRNA from 1 species
GGCAUUAUGUGUUCUGUAGGUGACCUGCGGCAGGUCAUUAUCAUGUAAAUUCAGUCAUGCUUGCCGCGUGAGCUGCGAUACACCCACACUGCGUACACCUCUCCUGUUGCUUGCCGUAGGUGACCGAGAAUAAUCUGUGCCCGGCGGAAAAUGAACCCCAAGUCAUACGAAUAGAAUCUGUCUGAACAAACGAAGAAACCAAAUGGAAUGUUAAAACUUUCAGCAACGGAUCUCUUGGUUCUCGCAUCGAUGAAGAACGCAGCGAAAUGCGAUAAGUAGUGUGAAUUGCAGAAUUUAGUGAAUCAUCGAAUCUUUGAACGCACAUUGCGCCUCCCGGUAUUCCGGGGGGCAUGCCUGUUCGAGAGUCAUUGACAACCACAUCGAAUCCCCCCGCUUCAGUCCUCUCGAGGGGCUUUGGGGAGGGGGGAGGAUCGGUUCUGGUGGAAGAGGGGAACGAGUUGCCUCGCUACCGUAGGCUUGGCAAAAUCCCCUCCCCGCCGAAAUUCUUACGCGGUCUGUGCCAAACCCACAUGCCUUAUACUUGUGCGCGUCGUAGAGGAAGGCCCCUCACAAUUCUGGAGGAGCCACUUUUCGCGUGUGUAUAAUGAAUGCUGGUUUCGGGACCACGGACUAGCCAGCCAUCCAAAGAAGGAAUAAGAAUCCCCCGUAGGUUUUUAUCACCGAAUCAAUGGUUGACCUCGGAUCAGGUAGGGAUACCCGCUGAACUUUAAGCAUAUCAAUAAGCGGAGGAAAAGAAACCCACCGGGAUUGCCUCAGUAACUGCGAGUGAAGUGGCAAAAGCUCAAAUUUGAAAUCCGGUACUUCUGGGUGCCUGACUUGUAAUUUGGAGAGACAAAUUUGGUUGACACUGUGCCGGCCCAGGUUCUUUUGAACAGGACACACAGAGGGUGAGAAUCCCGUGCACGGUCGGACUUGCUGUCGCAUUGCUAAAUUGUCUUCGACGAGUCGAGUUUUUUGGGAUGCAGCUCAAAAUGGUGGUAAUUGUCAUCUAAAGCUAAUAUUGGCGAAAGACCGAUAGCGCACAGUGAGUGAUCGAAGAUGAAAGCACUUUGAAAGAGAGUCAAAA